rnacentral:rRNA from 1 species
UACGGAGGGGGCUAGCGUUGUUCGGAAUUACUGGGCGUAAAGCGCGCGUAGGCGGACCGGCAAGUCGGGGGUGAAAGCCCGAGGCUCAACCUCGGAACUGCCUUCGAUACUGCGGGUCUCGAGUCCGGGAGAGGUGAGUGGAAUUCCUAGUGUAGAGGUGAAAUUCGUAGAUAUUAGGAAGAACACCAGUGGCGAAGGCGGCUCACUGGCCCGGUACUGACGCUGAGGCGCGAAAGCGUGGGGAGCAAACAGG